rnacentral:rRNA from 1 species
AGUGAACGCUGGCGGUAGGCCUAACACAUGCAAGUCGAACGGCAACACAGUAAGAGCUUGCUCUUACGGGUGGCGAGUGGCGGACGGGUCAGGAAUGUAACGGAACCUACUCUUUCGUGGGGGUUAAGGUAGGGAAACUUACGAUAAUACAGCAUACGCCCUAGGGUGGAAAGGGGGGGAUAUUCGCGCCUGGCGCGGUUGAAUGAGCGGAUGUUGGAUUUGCUGGUUGGGGGGGUAAAGGCCAAGCAAGGCGGCGAUCGGUGGCUGGUCUGAGUGGAUGAUAGGCGACAUUGGAACGGAGCCACGGUCCAGACUCCUACGGGAGGCAGCAGUGGGGAAUAUUGGACAAUGGGCGCAAGCCUGAUCCAGCCAUACCGCGUGGGUGAAGAAGGCCUUCGGGUUGUAAAGCCCUUUUGUUGGGAAAGAAAAGCAGCAGGUUAAUACCCCGCUGUUCUGACGGUACCCAAUGAAUAAGCACCGGCUAACUACGUG